AGAGUUUGAUCCUGGCUCAGGACGAACGCUGGCGGCGUGCUUAACACAUGCAAGUCUAAGGAGAAAGUUCCUUCGGGAGCAAGUAAACUGGCGAACGGGUGAGUAACGCGUAGGUAACCUACCCUUAAGCUCGGGAUAACCCACCGAAAGGUGAGCUAAUACCGGAUAAUAUCUUUCCUCAUAAGGGGUAAAGAUCAAAGGUGGCUUCGGCUAUCACUUAUGGAUGGGCCUGCGUCUGAUUAGCUAGUUGGUAAGGUAAUGGCUUACCAAAGCAAUGAUCAGUAGCUGGUCUGAGAGGGCGAUCAGCCACAUUGGGACUGAGAUACGGCCCAGACUCCUACGGGAGGCAGCAGUGGGGAAUUUUGCGCAAUGAGCGAAAGCUUGACGCAGCAACGCCGCGUGAUCGAAGAAGCUCUGCGGAGUGUAAAGAUCUGUCAUAGGGGAAGAUAAGUUCCGUUAUUAACACCAUCGGGAUGUGACGGUACCCUAUAAGAAAGCCCCGGCUAACUUCGUGCCAGCAGCCGCGGUAAUACGAGGGGGGCAAGCGUUGUCCGGAUUUAUUGGGCGUAAAGAGUUCGUAGGCGGGUUAGUCAGUCGAAAUUGAAAUCCCACGGCUUAACCGUGGACCCGGUUUCGAUACUGCUAAUCUUGAGUGAGACAGAGGUAAGCGGAAUUCCUGGUGUAGCGGUGAAAUGCGUAGAUAUCAGGAGGAACACCGAAGGCGAAGGCAGCUUACUGGGUCUAUACUGACGCUGAGGAACGAAAGCGUGGGGAGCAAACAGGAUUAGAUACCCUGGUAGUCCACGCCGUAAACGAUGGGCACUAAGCGUCCGACGGGUUCGACCCUGUUGGGUGCUGCAGUUAACGCGUUAAGUGCCCCGCCUGGGGAGUACGACCGCAAGGUUGAAACUCAAAGGAAUUGACGGGGACCCGCACAAGCGGUGGAACAUGUGGUUUAAUUCGAUGAUACGCGAGGAACCUUACCAGGGCUUAAAUGUACGUUGCAUAAUUCAGAGAUGAAUUUUUCUUCGGACCACGUACAAGGUGCUGCAUGGUUGUCGUCAGCUCGUGCCGUG
rnacentral:rRNA from 1 species